rnacentral:lncRNA from 1 species
UUGGGAGGAAGCCAAACAUGAAGAAAGUUGCCUUUAUUCUGUGUUAUCAGCAGUGCCGUUGCACCUGGUGCUGAGCUUACCCACAUGAAAGGACGUGGCUGCAUCCCGCGUGAGGUGACGCGAGUGCCAGCUCAUGAGAACUGAUUUAACCCACAUAAUACUUACAUAAACAACUGUCCACGCUGGGCCAAAUUCCAUCCUGACUGAAGGUGCAUUUGGGAUACAAUGGCCCAGAACUGUUCAGUCAUGCUUGGUUGCUCUGAUCCGAAGGAACCACUCUGCUCUGCUUGGAGGCAGUGCUUUCAGGAGGACAACAGGAGUUAUGUGGGCCCUCCUUUCCUGCCUGAAUCCUGUGGAGGAAGAAGCAUUCACGUUCACAUGCUAUUCCUUGUUUCAAGAUUAUUUAAGAAACCACCGCUGUUGAACUAG